UGCAAGUCGAACGGAAACGAUGGGAGCUUGCUCCCAGGCGUCGAGUGGCGGACGGGUGAGUAAUACUUAGGAAUCUACCCAGUAGCGGGGGACAACUCGGAGAAAUUCGAGCUAAUACCGCAUACGCCCUACGGGGGAAAGCAGGGGAUCUUCGGACCUUGCACUAUUGGAUGAGCCUAAGUCGGAUUAGCUUGUUGGUGAGGUAAAGGCUCACCAAGGCGACGAUCCGUAGCUGGUCUGAGAGGACGAUCAGCCACACUGGGACUGAGACACGGCCCAGACUCCUACGGGAGGCAGCAGUGGGGAAUAUUGGACAAUGGGGGCAACCCUGAUCCAGCAAUGCCGCGUGUGUGAAGAAGGCCCGCGGGUUGUAAAGCACUUUCAGUAGAGAAGAAAAGCCUAUGGUUAAUACCCCUGGGUCUUGACGUAACCUACAGAAGAAGCACCGGCUAACUCCGUGCCAGCAGCCGCGGUAAUACGGAGGGUGCGAACGUUAAUCGGAAUUACUGGGCGUAAAGCGCGCGUAGGCGGCUUUGUAAGUCGGAUGUGAAAGCCCUGGGCUCAACCUGGGAAUGGCAUUCGAUACUGCAGAGCUAGAGUAUGGUAGAGGGAAGUGGAAUUUCCGGUGUAGCGGUGAAAUGCGUAGAUA
rnacentral:rRNA from 1 species